rnacentral:rRNA from 1 species
UACGUAGGGGGCAAGCGUUGUCCGGAUUUAUUGGGCGUAAAGAGCGUGUAGGCGGCCUGAAAGGUCAGCUGUGAAAACUCGAGGCUCAACCUCGAGACGUCGGUUGAAACCAUCUGGCUAGAGUCCGGAAGAGGAGAGUGGAAUUCCCGGUGUAGCGGUGAAAUGCGCAGAUAUCGGGAAGAACACCCGUGGCGAAGGCGGCUCUCUGGGACGGUACUGACGCAUGAGACGGCGAAAAGCGGUUGGGGAGCGAACAGG